AUGGCGAGUUUGAUCCUGGCUCAGGAUAAACGCUGGCGGCGUGCCUAACACAUGCAAGUCGAACGCGCUCCCCUCCUUCGGGGGGGGAGCGAGUGGCGGACGGGUGAGUAAGACGUGGGUCACCUACCUUUCAGUGAGGGAUACCGGCGAGAAAUCGCCGACAAUCCCGCAUACGCUUGGCGCUCUGCAACGAGUGCCAAGCAAAGCUCUGCAAAGGGCGCUGGGAGAUGGGCCCGCGGCCGAUUAGCUGGUUGGUGGGGUAAAAGCUCACCAAGGCGACGAUCGGUAGCUGGUCUGAGAGGACGAUCAGCCACACUGGGAUUGAGAACGGCCCAGACUCCUACGGGGGGCAGCAGUGAGGAAUUUUCGGCAAUGGACGCAAGUCUGACCGAGCAACGCCGCGUGCAGGAGGAAGGUCUUCG
rnacentral:rRNA from 1 species